AGUGAGCGCUGGCGGUAGGCCUAACACAUGCAAGUCGAACGGCAGCACAGUAAGAGCUUGCUCUUACGGGUGGCGAGUGGCGGACGGGUGAGGAAUACAUCGGAAUCUACUUUUUCGUGGGGGAUAACGUAGGGAAACUUACGCUAAUACCGCAUACGACCUACGGGUGAAAGCAGGGGAUCUUCGGACCUUGCGCGAUUGAAUGAGCCGAUGUCGGAUUAGCUAGUUGGCGGGGUAAAGGCCCACCAAGGCGACGAUCCGUAGCUGGUCUGAGAGGAUGAUCAGCCACACUGGAACUCAGACACGCUCCAGACUCCUACGGGAGGCCGCAGUGGGCAAUAUUAGACAAUGGGCGCGAGCCUGAUCCAGCCAUACCGCGUCGGUGAAGAAGGCCUUCGGGUUGUAAAGCCCUUUUGUUGGGAGAGAAAAGCAGCAGGUUAAUACCCCGCUGUUCUGACGGUACCCAAAGAAUAAGCACCGGCUAACUUCGUG
rnacentral:rRNA from 1 species